rnacentral:rRNA from 1 species
AACGAACGCUGGCGGCAGGCCUAACACAUGCAAGUCGAACGCUCCGCAAGGAGAGUGGCAGACGGGUGAGUAACGCGUGGGAAUCUUCCUAUCGGUACGGAAUAGCUCAGGGAAACUUGGGGUAAUACCGCAUACGCCCUUACGGGGAAAGAUUUAUCGCCGAUAGAUGAGCCCGCGUCUGAUAGCUAGUUGGUGAGGUAAAGGCUCACCAAGGCGACGAUCCUUAGCUGGUCUGAGAGGAUGAUCAGCCACACUGGGACUGAGACACGGCCCAGACUCCUACGGGAGGCAGCAGUGGGGAAUAUUGGACAAUGGGCGAAAGCCUGAUCCAGCAAUGCCGCGUGAGUGAUGAAGGCCUUAGGGUUGUAAAGCUCUUUUACCAGGGAUGAUAAUGACAGUACCUGGAGAAUAAGCUCCGGCUAACUCCGUGCCAGCCGCCGCCGUAAAAC